ensembl:lncRNA
AAGCAGUUACCUUACCUAUGGAAAUCUGGCUCUCAGUUCAGAGAAGAUGGGCAGGUGGUAGCAGUCUUCGCUGAAGGUAGGCAGAAGCUGUCACAGGAAAGAGGAUGUCCACAGCCCUCAAAUGAGGAGCAGCUCCAAGCGAAAAGACCCAUAGCGGAUAACAAUGCGGACAGAGCUGAUCCCAGCCUAAAACCACUCCACAGUCAACCCAAGGUUUUGCUUGCAACAGUAAAGUCAUGUAACACCGUUGCUGCUGCUGCUGCUGCUGCUGCUGUUGCUGUGUCAGUGAAAACAUAAUUUCACGGCCUGAAUUUCAGGGCAACUGUAGGGGAUGUGCCAAAUGCAGUCCUGGAAUUCUUGAAAAGUUGGGGAAAUACUCUGCGUACAGAUGUGUUUUCCUGCUUCAUAUACUUCCCAUUGCUGAUUGCCAGUCCCUGUCUAUGCACUACUCCUUUAAAUUCCAAGAUGUGGUAAGUUUUAGCGUUCAUCUCCUCCCCCGUUUUAUUUCUACUCUCCUCUGCAACAUUCCUUCAGCUGCCUUUUCCUUAAUUUUCUCUUGUCCCUUUAAGUGAUUCAGAAGGGAGUGCAGCUGAGUGUCAGAUGCGUAGCCCUCAUCUAUUUUCAUUAGGGCUUAGGCAUUAACUGCCCUUUAGUGUUUUGAAAAUCCCCUCAUGAACUGUAACAUAUUAAUAACUUAGUCUCUAUUUGAAAUUAAGGUGGCCACAGCAGUAUUCAAAAAUUCAAAGCUAGUCUUCUUGCUGGCUUGUCUGAUAAUCCUGUUGCAGCCAAUUCUCCUGCUCCUCCAAGGCACUUAAAAUAAUCUGCACGCGGUGUGGCCAAGAGCAAGACUCAUAGUAUGCAUCUCCAGAGACUAGAUGGAGAGAUCCUGGGAGAGGAAGUGGUGACAGCUGGGACAUGAAGCAACUUUUCCUUCACGUGCUCCACCACUGCCCUGUGGAAAGGGUGGGAAGGGGCUUGGAGCAAGGUCAUAGCAGAGCUUGGAAACGUGUGCGUCUGGAGCUCCUCUUCUUUCUGCACUAGGCUUUCUGGAGUACUUAGCAAUUCAAACACCAACACAGACUCAUAUCGCAUAAUCUUACUGUAGCAGCCACAUGUGAACUGCUCACAACUUCAUGCAGUUUGAGAACGAUAUGUUAACCACCUUUCUGUGUUGUAGUCAGUAUCACAGCUGUAGCGCUUAUAAUCAUAGUGCCUCUAAGAAAAAGCCAAUCUGAUAGCCUGUGAAUUCCUACAAAGCCUAAAAUUUCACAGUAACGCUCAGCUCCCCAGUGUCCCCUUUUUCAUGAGCCUCCCCUACUCCUCUCUCCUCAUGUUUUCCAUCCAGCAAACCUGAUUCACACUCUCCUCUAUCCCAUGCAUUUCAGCUUCUUAAUCCGCCUUGAUCCUCACUCCCAAUAAGAGUGACUUCUUUUUUAUUAAUGUUAUCAAAAGGAUGAAUUAAAAUUAAUGUGAGUCUUGUAAUUCAGGUGCAUUGCUGAAGUAAGAAGUCAAGCCAGUCAAAACAGCAAAUGAAACUCGCUCAAAGGCAUAUCACAAGAGCUUUUGAAAGAAAGCAUAGUCUCUUUAAAAAUGCCUGGGGUCCUAGACAGAAGAGAGAAAGGUGCAUGAUCAUGCACGAAGCAGUAAGCAUUCACAGAAGCUAUUUGUGAAGCACGUGAUAUUUUCCAAAUAUUUUAGGCCGGUUGUAUGCUUAAGGUAACCCUUAUCAUGACAUAGCUAUGGUAUUCCUUUGUCAAACCUAUAACUGUGAUCUUCCAGUGAAAAAAAUAAUAGAUUUUAUGUACUCUUAACACUAUUUUUCCUAAAAAUAUCAAUCGCUUUAUUUUUCCUGUAAUUUCAUUAUAUUAAAAGACAAAGAUUGAAGACAGAGGAAGUUUAUGUGAUGUUUCUGAGGUAGUUCAUAAUGCCACAUAACAGAUAGUUACUGAAUUGUUGGUUUCCAGCUCUGAGUCAGAUGAAGAGGUCACUUUUUGAACAAUGAUCAUAAUCUGUUUCCCAUUUGCUUUACUUCUCAUUGCUUUGGAAAUGUUAUUUUUAAGUCUUUAUUUUUGCAGGUCUAAGUAAUAAUUAAAAUUAUAUCUCUUGGCCUUUGAGUUAGGAUUUCCACAGUUACAGCAAGCACUUUUGAAAGGCAUAUUACUUUGUAAGCAUUAUUUCCAAGCAUGAUCAUGUGAAGAAAAAUCAGAAAACCUCUGGCAGAAAACAGCUUUAAAUUCUCAUAGGGCAUAAAAGGCAAGAAAAAACGUUGCUAUGACUGUAUAAGAAAGAAGAGGAAAACAAGGUAUAGAUCGAUUGCUUAUGGUAAGAGAGUAAACAUGCCUAAACACACACACACACAAAAUUUCGACCGGCCACUUGAAAGGAAAUAUUUUUUAACAAGGACAGAAGAGUGUAGGAUACAGCACAGAAAUAGCAGGUUAAAAAACAUUCAGUUAAGUGAGAUGUGCUCUAGCUGGCUGAGCUAGGUGAAAUUUACUCUAGAUUAAGGAACUAGCCAAAAUAAUUUCCCAAAUACUAGCCUUUUAGAACCUGAGGAGGACAAAGGAAGCUCUAGUAAACAGAAAAGGGCAGAUACUUUUAAAGAGGGAGAAGAAGAUGCAAAGCUGCAGAACAUUAUAGACCAGUCAGUCCACAAAGACUCUGGAACAAAUUACUGGACAAUCCUUUUUAAGUGCCUUAAGAUAACAAAGUGAUAAAAACAGGCAACAAGGGUUUGUCAAGAAUAGCUCACUUCAAACCAGUCUAAUUUAUUUUUUUGAUAGGUAGCAGACCUAGCAGAUAAGGGAGAAGCAGAAAACGUAUUAUAUUUUGACUGCAGUACAGUUUUGACAUUGUCCGCACGGCUUUCUCAUAUGGAAGCAGAACCUAAAUAAAAUUGCUAUCCAGCAGAUACA